GUCACUCCCAAGCCUGGAAGAGAAUGAGAAGGAGGCAGUAGAAUAUCAUUAUAAUCAUACUACUUGUCCCAGGGGAUCCAUGUAUUCUACUGAAGAGUGGGAGUAGUUCAAAAUGGAGAAAUGAGGAAACCAUGACAAAGAGUCUGGAUAAUCAUUAGAACUGAUUAAAGUCAGGCUGCCCUAGAUUGAAAAGUGUGUGCCUCUGCUCACAGAAACUCUCCUCCUUCAAUACCUGACUACUUGCACCAUCCAGCAGAUAUCCUCUACUACCAAGUCUCAACAGAUGGUUCAGCUGGUCUUUAAUGAACAAAAGGCAUUUGUGUAAUGGACUCUUAUUGCUCAAGAAGAAUUUCUUCCUUCCUGAAACAUGAGGAGAAACUGACAAAAACUGUCUCCUUGACCAAACCCUAGUCAGUUGCCUAUAAGCCCUGUAGGCUGUGACCUUAGUGUCUAUCCUUAUCAGACACGCAUUACACAACCAUAGCAACAGUCUUGCUAAGUUGGUUUAACCAGAACCCCUACCCUUGAUAUCUGAUUUAAUUUAUAAUUCCCCUGAGUCCCCGAGGUGACAUCCAUUCAUCCUGGCCAGCUUUCAAUAAGAAUCCUAUUGGAUUAUUUAGCUAGAAAUCACCCCUUACACUUAAUGCUUCCUUUUAGUAAUUUUGCAUCCACUAACCCCGACCUUGCUCGUUGGCUAUAAAUCCACAAGUUGUCCGUGUUGUGUUUGGAAUUGAUUACAAUUCUAUAUUGAGGUCUCUUUUCCCAUAUUGCAAUAGUUCCUGAUUAAAAUCUGCUUUUGCCCAUUGAUAUGGUUUGGUUGUGUACCCACUCAAAUCUCAUCUUGAAUUGUAGCUCCCAUGAUUCCCAUAAUUGAAUCAUGGCAGCAGUUUACCCCAUACUGUUCUUGUGGUAGUGAAUAAGUCUCAUGAGAUCUGAUGGUUUUAUAAGGGGUUUCCACUUUCACUUGAUUCUGACUCUCUUUUGUUUGCCGCUAUGUAAGACAUGCCUUUCACCUUCUGCCAUAAUUGUGAAGCCUCCCCAGCCACAUGGAACUGUGAGUCCGUUAAACCUCAUUUUCUUUAUAUAUAAAUUACCCAGUCUCAGGUAUGUCUUUAUCAGCAGCAUGAAAAUGGACUAAUACACUCCUUUAACUGUGUAGCUCUGGUGUUCUUUGAUGAGCUAGAAACUGUAAAUCUCUGGAAGUCAAAUCUUCAUUUGAACUGGUUGUUAUAUAUUAUUGAUUCUCUCAAUUAUUUAGUUAAAUAAAAGUCUUGACAUGUUAAA
rnacentral:lncRNA from 1 species